UCUUGUUCAAUUAUUCAAGUACUACUCUUACUUUCUUUUAUUGUAAUACUUGGUUGGUUUGAAUUAUUCAAAUGUUCAUUUUACGGUAUAGUGUCAAAAGUAAGAAGUUCAAUUUUGAUCCUAUUGAUUAUGCAAGUAUCAAUAAAACAGAAUUUUGGGUAGUGGAAGAAGAGGAACCUCCACUUCUUGAUUAUGUGCAAUAAGAGAAUACAUUAUACGAACAAGGUGCUUAUCCAAUUGAAGAAAGGUCUUCUAGCUAUGCACAAGGAGAUAUGAACAAUGACAUGAUUGAGGAUGAUGACAUUGAUUUGGGAUCAUUUGGUGUUAAGAUGGUACUCUUGGAUUUAAAGGUAGAAAUCAUCCUAAUGAAGAUGAAGAUGAAGAUGAUGAGGGAUGAGGAUGAUGAUGAUGGCAGUGGUGGAGCAUUUGGAUCACAUGAUGACACUAAUUUCAAAUAUCUUUAUAACAAAUGAGACUUGUGUUGAUAUCCAAUGAACCUUAAAACUUGAUAGUUCUUUGUUUGAAACUUAUUUGUUAUUUGGAUGUAAUGAACAUAUUUAUUUGGUUAUGUUGAAAGUUUAUUAUGUUAA